rnacentral:rRNA from 1 species
AACUUCAGACCUGGCCGAGCGGUCCGUUUAACGGCGUGUACUGWUWGGCUGGGCCUUACCUCUUGGUGAGCCGGCGUGCCNUAUUAUUGGUGUGCGUCGGGGAACCAGGACUUUUACCUUGAGAAAAUUAGAGUGUUCAAAGCAGGCCUAUGCCCGAAUACAUUAGCAUGGAAUAAUAGAAUAGGACGUGCGGUUCUAUUUUGUUGGUUUCUAGAGUCGCCGUAAUGAUUAAUAGGGAUAGUUGGGGGCAUUGGUAUUGAGUCGCUAGAGGUGAAAUUCUUGGAUUGAUUCAAGACCAACUAUUGCGAAAGCAUUUGCCAAGGAUGUUUUCAUUAAUCAAGAACGAAAGUUGGGGGCUCGAAGACGAUCAGAUACCGUCCUAGUCUCAACCAUAAACGAUGCCGACCAGGGAUCGGCGGAUGUUGCUUAUAGGACUACCGCCGGCACCUUAUGAGAAAUCAAAGUCUUUGGGUUCCCGGGGGGAGUAUGGUCGCAAGGCUGAAACUUAAAGG